rnacentral:rRNA from 1 species
AGUGAACGCUGGCGGUAGGCCUAACACAUGCAAGUCGAACGGCAGCACAGUAAGAGCUUGCUCUUACGGGUGGCGAGUGGCGGACGGGUGAGGAAUACAUCGGAAUCUACUUUUUCGUGGGGGAUAACGUAGGGAAACUUACGCUAAUACCGCAUACGACCUACGGGUGAAAGCAGGGGAUCUUCGGACCUUGCGCGAUUGAAUGGGCCGAUGUCGGAUUAGCUAGUUGGCGGGGUAAAGGCCCACCAAGGCGACGAUCCGUAGCUGGUCUGAGAGGAUGAUCAGCCACACUGGAACUGAGACACGGUCCAGACUCCUACGGGAGGCAGCAGUGGGGAAUAUUGGGCAAUGGGCGCAAGCCUGACCCAGCCAUACCGUGUGGGUGAAGAAGGCCUUCGGGUUGUAAAGCCCUUUUGUUGGGAAAGAAAAGCAGCAGGUUAAUACCCCGCUGUUCUGACGGUACCCAAAGAAUAAGCACCGGCUAACUUCGUG